CAAAAACAAAGGGGGUCUAUCCUAACCGUGAGUUGGUUAUAGUACAGAGCAGACCACAGACUUCACUGAGUGGCGCCAAAUACUCAUCAAUGGCACUAUUCACAAUCCCUUCAUCAUCUCUAUUCAAACCUCAAGCUCUCUUCCCUAAUAAAUUUCCUUCAAUUCCCUCACAACAAAAGAUCUUCACUAUUUCUUGCUCAAAUUCAUCCUCAAAUGACGGCAACAACCACACCUUUAGCGACGAACAACAGAAGACAGCAAAAAGACAAUUAUCAGAACAAUCAUCUUGGGAAACUAAAGACUCCGAAGGAAAUGAUUAUCUUUACAGAUUAGGAAAAGAAGCUGACAACAUGAACAUUGCCGUCGGAGCUAGACCUGGCGUCAUCGAUCCUCUUUUCGCCGGAAAUUUUCUCGGCAGAGACUCGGAUAUUGUGUUUGAUUAUCGACAGAAAGUGACAAGAUCAUUUGAGUAUCUUAAAGGAGAUUACUAUAUCGCUCCAGUUUUCUUGGAUAAAGUUGUAUGCCAUAUUGUGAAGAACUACAUAGCUCAUCUUCUCAAUGUCAAAGUUCCUCUGAUCCUAGGUAUUUGGGGUGGAAAGGGGCAAGGAAAAUCAUUUCAGACUGAACUUGUUUUUCAAGCCAUGGGAAUUGAACCUGUAAUUAUGUCUGCAGGAGAAUUAGAAUCAGAAAGAGCUGGAGAACCAGGAAAACUGAUUCGUGAACGCUAUAGAACAGCUUCUCAAGUGGUCCAGAACCAAGGCAAGAUGAGCUGUUUGAUGAUCAAUGACAUUGAUGCCGGCCUUGGUAGAUUUGGGAACACACAGAUGACAGUGAACAAUCAAAUCGUUGUUGGUACACUAAUGAAUUUGGUGGAUAAUCCUACAAGAGUCAGUACUGGACAAGACUGGCGAGAAUCAGAUAUCACAAACAGAAUUCCUAUCAUUGUGACAGGAAAUGACUUUUCAACAAUCUAUGCCCCCUUGAUUCGUGAUGGAAGAAUGGAAAAAUUUUUCUGGCAGCCUAAUCAGGAAGAUAUUGUGAACAUUGUUCACAGAAUGUAUGAGAAGGACGGGAUAUCUAGAGAUGAGGUUGUAAGCAUUGUAAAGACAUUUCCUAAUCAAGAGUUAUAUCAAGUAAACAGGGGACAAAAGACACUUUUGACUAUUAUGCUUGACUUCAGACAGAAUGAUACAGAUUGAAAGUAUUAUAGGACACUGCUUAUAGUUAUGCUUUGCAUAUUUUAUGUAAAGGCAACAUAGUAGUGUCAUUUCCGUUCAUCGAUGAAGAAUUACAUAAACUGAAAUGACCGUAACACUUACCAAAAUCAACUGUGUGUAUCUCAUUGCCCUAUGCAUACUAGCUGAACUUUCUUCUGAUAUUAAGCUGUUACAAAGAACCUUGAGAACCCAUCCUAGGUGGUAUAGUCAUCUAUCAUUGCUGCAAAAGUUCCCUCCUCUUCCAGCAUUUGUUUUGUCGGGUGAGUAGGAGGGAAGAGACAGUGGAGGGUUUGAAACCAAUGGUACCCAUGCCAUGCAAUGCUGGUGUAGUAUUAACUGGCUCCAAGCCUUAAGAUUGCUCUACCUGGCUUUAACUUCUUGCAAUCAAUCAAACCCGAGCACUGAAUCAGGAAGACCAAGUGUGCUGCAAAACUUCUUAGCUUCACAAGGUCAUAGUUGAUUGUAAAGGGAUGAUAAGAUGCCAAGCUUGGAAGGAAGAACUCUUCAAUAAUAGGCUUUAUGGUGGCGGUGUCAGAAGUGUGAAACCUUUUUUUUUGUCUUUUUCUGGUCAAGGCCAAAGAGCAAUUUUUUAAGACCAAAACUUUCCAGAAUUGCAGAGCAUAAGCUCCGAUCAAGGAGGAAAAUUAGAACUUCAUAAAGGAGAUUUCAGCCAUUUAUAGAGCUUUGGAUUUCUAUGGAGCUCUUCGAUCCCGAACAUAUGACAUGUCGAUUUCUAAGUGGAUUGAUGACAUUGGAGGUGUGGAAAAUCUUGGUAACAAACUCCUCAAACGAAGAAAGAACGAGACACUUCCUGUGUAUACUCCCCCAGAGCAAACGGUGGAGGCUUUAUUUGAAUCAGGCUAUUCUCUCAUCAGAGAACAGCAGCUGAUAAUGGAAACUAAACUUUCAAAGGAAUACAUGAAGAACAUUGAUGACUAGGAAAGAGUUCGGCAUUGCAG